rnacentral:rRNA from 2 species
CAAUUUUUUUGAGAGUUUGAUCCUGGCUCAGGAUGAACGCUGGCUGUGUGCCUAAUACAUGCAUGUCGAGCGGAACUAGUUUACUAGUUUAGCGGCAAAUGGGUGAGUAACACGUACCUAAUCUACCUUAAAGAUCGGAACAACAAUGGGAAACCGUUGCUAAUACCGGAUAUACCUUUGAAAAGCAUUUUUUAAAGGCGAAAGGAGCAACUGCUUCACUUUGAGAUGAGGGUGCGUUACAUUAGUUAGUUGGCAGGGUAAUGGCCUACCAAGACGAUGAUGUAUAGCCGAGUUGAGAGACUGAUCGGCCACACUGGGUCUGAGAUACGGCCCUGACGGGAGGCAGCAGUAGGGAAUAUUCCACAAUGGGCGCAAGCCUGAUGGAGCGACACAGCGUGCAGGAUGAAGGUCUUCGGAUCGUAAACUGCUGUUAUACAGAAAGAAAAGAUAUAGGAGUGGAAAGCCUAUAUUAUGACGGUACUGUAUCAGAAAGUGACGGCAAACUAUGUGCCAGCAGCCGCGGUAAUACAUAGGUCACAAGCGUUAUCCGAAAUUAUUGGGCGUAAAGCGUCCGUAGGUUGUUUGUUAAGUCUGGAGUUAAAGACCGGUGCUCAACGCCGGCACGCUUUAGAUACUGGCAAACUAGAGUUAUAAAGAGGUAAGUGGAAUUUCAUGUGAAGCGGUGGAAUGCGUAGAUAUAUGAAAGAACACCAAUGGCGAAGGCAGCUUACUGGUUAUAUACUGACACUGAGGGACGAAAGCGUGGGGAGCAAACAGGAUUAGAUACCCUGGUAGUCCACGCCGUAAACGAUGAUCAUUAGUUGGUGGGGGAACCCUCGCUAACGCAGCUAACGCAUUAAAUGAUCCGCCUGAGUAGUAUGCUCGCAAGAGUGAAACUUAAAGGAAUUGACGGGGACCCGCACAAGCGGUGGAGCAUGUGGUUUAAUUUGACGAUACGCGUAGAACCUUACCCACUCUUGACAUCCCUUGCAAAGCUAUAGAGAUAUAGUGGAGGUUAACAAGGUGACAGAUGGUGCAUGGUUGUCGUCAGCUCGUGUCGUGAGAUGUUCGGUUAAGUCCUGCAACGAGCGCAACCCCUAUCCUUAUUUACUAACAUUAAGUUGAGAACUAUACGGAUACUGCUCAGGUAACUGGGAGGAAGGUGGGGAUGACGUCAAAUCAUCAUGCCUCUUACGAGUGGGGCAACACACGUGCUACAAUGGCCGGUACAAAGAGACGCAAUAUGGUGACAUGGAGCAAAUCUGAAAAACCGGUCUCAGUUCGGAUUGAAGGCUGCAAUUCGCCUUCAUGAAGUCGGAAUCGCUAGUAAUCGUAGAUCAGCUACGCUACGGUGAAUACGUUCUCGGGUCUUGUACACACCGCCCGUCACACCAUGGGAGCCGGUAAUGCCCAAAGUCGGUUUAGCUAACUUCGGAAGCGACUGCCUAAGGCAGGAUUGGUGACUGGGGUGAAGUCGUAACAAGGUAUCCCUACGAGAACGUGGGGAUGGAUCACCUCCUUUCUACGGAG